UAAUGUAUGGGGAUCUGCCUGAUGGCGGGGGAUAACUACUGGAAACGGUAGCUAAUACCGCAUAAUGUCUGCGGACCAAAGCGGGGGACCUCCGGGCCUCGCGCCAUCAGAUGAACCCAUAUGGGAUUAGCUUGUAGGUAAGGUAAUGGCUUACCUAGGCGACGAUCCCUAGCUGGUCUGAGAGGAUGAUCAGCCACACUGGGACUGAGACACGGUCCAG
rnacentral:rRNA from 1 species